rnacentral:rRNA from 1 species
CAGUAGCCGCGGGAAUACGUAGGUGGCAAGCGUUGUCCGGAAUUAUUGGGCGUAAAGGGCUCGCAGGCGGUUUCUUAAGUCUGAUGUGAAAGCCCCCGGCUCAACCGGGGAGGGUCAUUGGAAACUGGGAAACUUGAGCGCAGAAGAGGAGAGUGGAAUUCCACGUGUAGCGGUGAAAUGCGUAGAGAUGUGGAGGAACACCAGUGGCGAAGGCGACUCUCUGGUCUGUAACUGACGCUGAGGAGCGAAAGCGUGGGGAGCGAACAGGAUUAGAUACCCCAGUAGUCCCUGUCUCUUAUAC